GACGAACGCUGGCGGCGUGCCUAAUACAUGCAAGUAGAACGCUGAAACUUGGUGCUUGCACCGAGCGGAUGAGUUGCGAACGGGUGAGUAACGCGUAGGUAACCUGCCUGGUAGCGGGGGAUAACUAUUGGAAACGAUAGCUAAUACCGCAUAAGAGUAGAUGUUGCAUGACAUUUGCUUAAAAGGUGCAAUUGCACCACUACCAGAUGGACCUGCGUUGUAUUAGCUAGUUGGUGGGGUAACGGCUCACCAAGGCGACGAUACAUAGCCGACCUGAGAGGGUGAUCGGCCACACUGGGACUGAGACGCGGCCCAGACUCCUACGGGAGGCAGCAGUAGGGAAUCUUCGGCAAUGGACGGAAGUCUGACCGAGCAACGCCGCGUGAGUGAAGAAGGUUUUCGGAUCGUAAAGCUCGGUUGUAAGAGAAGAACGAGUGUGAGAGUGGAAAGUUCACACUGUGACGGUAUCUUACCAGAAAGGGACGGCUAACUACGUG
rnacentral:rRNA from 1 species